CACUGAAAAGAUUCUCGUGUUUUGCGAGGUUUUCAAUUAUUUUUAUAAGCUAAAAAAUAAUUCAGGAAGAAAUUUCUAAAAUUAAGUAAUUUUUUAUGAAAUUUUAUUUAAGCUUAAGUUUAUUAGUACUGUGAAGGAAAAUUGAAUAAAAGUUUAAUAAAUAAAAAGUACUAAGAAUUAGGUACCUUUUGUAUUAGGGUUUAUUAAAAUAUAAAAUAAAAUUUUAUUUCUCGAAAAUAAAAGAGUUAAGUUCCAUAUCUGUUUUUGUUUCAAAAAAAUUGAAAAGUAGAACUUGGGUGUGAAAAAUAAUUCGAUUUUAUUAAUAUCUAGUAACUUUAUAAAUAAAUUUAGUUUAGUGAGUUUAGAAAAUAUUAAACUUUUUAGUGUUUUUAAAUACAACAAUAAUAUGAAGGGGAUGAGCUCUUUAUAUAUUAAAAAUUAAGAUAAAAUUUGGAUUAAUUGUAGGCUUAAAAGUGGCCAAAUUAAAGUGUUAUAACUAAUUAGUUUUAAGAAAAAGAUUUAAAAAAAUUUUAAUAAAUAUAAAGUUAAUUCCUUAAAUUUAGUAAGGGAAGAAAUAAUGAUAGAAUAAGUAGAUUUAAAUUUGUUUUGGAGAGUAUUUUAAUAAUUUAAAAAUUUGUUUUAAGAAAUCAUUUUAAUAUAAGAAUUAGGCAAAUAUGAUUUCCGAAUGUUUAACAAAAACAUUUCCUCUUAAUUUAAGAGGUAAGGCCUGCUCACUGAGAUUUUAAAGAGCCGCAGUAUACUGACUGUGCUAAGGUAGCAUAAUCAUUAGUUUUUUAAUUGGGAACUGGUAUGAAAGGCUAAACGAGAAAUCCGCUUUUUUUAUUAAAAAAAUUUAAUUUAAAUUUUUAGUGAAAAUGCUAAAAUUUAACAAAAAGACGAGAAGACCCUGUAGAGUUUUAUAAUUCCGGGUUAUAAAAAUGAAAAUUUAAAAAGUUUUUAUAAAUUUUUGAAUUUAUUUUGUUGGGGCGACAUUUAGAUAUAAAUAACUCUUUAUUAUUUGAAUCUUUUAUGAAAGUUGAAGAAUUGAUCCUUUAAAAAAGAUUAAAAGAAAAAAUUACCUUAGGGAUAACAGCGUAAUCUUUUUCGAGAGUUCUUAUCGACAAAAAGGUUUGCGACCUCGAUGUUGGACUAAAAUUAAGGCGAGGCGCAGAAGUUUCGUUUUUAGGUCUGUUCGACCUUUAAUUUUUUACAUGAUCUGAGUUCAAACCGGCGUGAGCCAGGUUGGUUUCUAUCUUUUGUUUUUAUAAUUUUAGCUUAGUACGAAAGGAUUGGUUAAAUAUAAUCUUUAUUUGAAUUUGAUUAUUAUUAAAUUAAGGAAAAUAUAAAUUUGGCAGAUAAAUGUAACAGACUUAGGAUCUGGGUAU
rnacentral:rRNA from 1 species